AGUGUAAGCUGGGGCCGAGGCCCAGGCUCGGGGUGGGGGUGGGGGGGUCCGGGUGGGGAUCUGGGUCGGGGUCGGGGUCGGGGUCGGGGUGGGGGUGGGGCCGCGGCGGCUGCGGCUGUGGCGGCGCUAGAGCGCUGGGAUGCUGGCUCCGGGGCCACUGCCUGGGGCGCUGCAGUUCCCUCCAGCGCCCCCGCGAGGCCUGGGGCGGCGGCGCUCCUCCUGGCGGCAGAUACAGACUUCCCAGAGCCGGUCGCCCAACCUCGUGACUAAGCCUUUCUCUCUUCGCGUGCGGCUGGAGGAGACUGGAGAGAUAUACCGGCUGUCCAGCUGCAAUGGCUACACCACCGUGCGGGAGCUGAAGGAGGAGUUAGAUCUGCUGGCCGGGAUUCCCUUCCACUUCCAAUGCCUCUUGUACCUGGAUCAAGGAAUUUUGAUGGAUGAUUCCACAUUAGGGUUCCAUGAUGUUGUUCCUGGGGGAAUUAUUUCAAUGUGUAUUUGGCAUCAGGAUGGAUGGCAAGAACUUGUUUUGGCUGCUCUGGAAGGGGACGCUAGUAAGCUAUCUUGUCUAGGUGUUACCGAAGACUCUCUAUACAGAACUCCACACUCUAUACGUUUAAGAGCAGAGAAUUAUAAGGAAUGGAUAGCUGAGAGAGCAUUUGUGGCUUUGUAUGUCGCGACACAUAGAGGCCACUUCGAAGCUGCACGUUUUCUCCUAGAAAAUGGUGCCAGUUGUCUGGCCAAAACACCAGUGGGCAGAACCGCUCUUCAUGUUGCUGCCGCCAUGGGACAUGUGAACUGUAUAAAUCUACUUCUCGAUUAUGGGGCACCUCUCACUGAGAAAGAUUUAAAGGGAGAGACGCCAGUCGAAAUAGCACGCCGCCUGAAGCGUACACCAAUCAGCUAUAUCUUAUGGAAAAGAAAGUGUGCUGGCACACCUGGAAGACACAAGAAGUAAAAGUGUGGCAGAGUCUGGAGUCCCUGGUGCUCCUGUGUGUUGUAAUGCCUGGAACCGUACAUGUAUAUCGCAAAAUUUGGAAAUAUUUUUGACUGAAGAAGAAAAUUCGAUUAAUUUGCUGGAGAAUGGACAGUACUACAGUGCAUUGUGGAAUCUGCAGUCAGUUAUUGAAGCUUCCAGCAGAGGGCACUGUGGGAUCAGUCAAUAUUCAGAUAAACUCCGGUUUUUAUAAGUGCAUAUUAAAAUACUCUAAGUAUUGCAAAUUAUGU